rnacentral:rRNA from 1 species
UACAGAGGUGGCAAGCGUUGUUCGGAAUUACUGGGCGUAAAGGGCGCGUAGGCGGUCCGAUAAGUCCCGUGUGAAAUCCCUCGGCUCAACUGAGGAAUGGCACGGGAAACUGACGGGCUUGAGUUCGGGCGAGGGAAGCGGAAUUCCGGGUGUAGCGGUGAAAUGCGUAGAUAUCCGGAGGAACACCGGUGGCGAAGGCGGCUUCCUGGACCGACACUGACGCUGAGGCGCGAAAGCUAGGGGAGCAAACGGG